GUCUCUCCGGAAAUUUGUAUGGAGAGUCGGCCCUGCCCGGUGAGAAUUUAAGUAAACGGUCGCAAUGAAGAGUUGUGCUAAGGUAGCGCAAUAAAUUGUCCUUUAAUUGGGGAAAUGAAUGAAAGGGUUGACGAGGGGGAAGCUAUCUUUUUGGUAUAGUUUGAAGUUUUCUUUUAUGUGAAAAGACUUAGAUUUUAUAAUUAGAAGAGAAGACCCCGGCGAGCUUGUUAAGGGUUGUCAAAUUUAGGCAACUAUUGAUUUUUGUUGGGGCAACGUAAAGGGAAAAGAACUCCUUUGAAUUUCAUAAGGAUCCACUUAGAGUGAAUAAAGCAAAAGCUACCGCGGGGAUAACAGCGCAAUUUCUUUAGAGAGCUCAUAUCGAAGAGGAAGUUUGCGACCUCGAUGUUGGAUUAAGAUUUCCUUUUGGUGCAGGAGUUAAAAAGGUAGGACUGUUCGUCCUUUAAAAUUUU
rnacentral:rRNA from 1 species